CUGCUGCCCUGUGAAGAAGGUGCCUGCUUCUCUUUUGCCUUCUACCAUGAUUGUAAGUUUCCUGAGGCCUCCCUAGCAAUGCAGAACUGUGAGUCAAUUAAACCUCUUUCCUUUAUAAAUUACCCAGUCUCAGGUAUUUCUUCAUAGUAGUGUGAAAAUGGACUAAUACAGCUUCUAUCCUCACCUCCUAUGCAAACCUCAGUCUGGUCAGGUGUCAUAUUCCGUGGUUUUUUUUUUUUUUUUUUUUUGGAGAUGGAGUCUUGCUCUGCCAUCCAGGCUGGAAUGCAGUGGCGUUAUCUUGGCUCACUGCAACCUCCACCUUCAGGGUUCAAGCGAUUCUCCUGCCUCAGCCUCCUGAGUAGCUGGGACUACAGGUGCACACUGCCACGCCUGGCUAAUUUUUUGUAUUUUAGUAGAGACAGGGUUUCACCGUGUUGCCUAGGCUGGUUUUGAACUCCUGAGCUCAGGCAAUAUGCCUGCCUUGGCCUCUCAAAGUGCUAGGAUUACAGGUGUGAGCCACUGCACCCAGCCCAUCUUCUGUAUUUUCUAACCCUUCCCAAGGUUUACCUCAGGAUUGUAAUUGUCUGUGGAUCUGCCAGAUUUCCCAACAGACCAUAUAUUUCCUAACAGCAAGGACUAUGUGUCAUUCGGUUUUCUAUCCCCAGUGUCUAAUCCCAUGUUUUUCACAUAAGAAGCACCCAUUAAAAUUUGUUCCUUAGUUGGGCAUGGUGGCUCACACCUGUAAUCUCAGCAUUUUUGGCGGCUGAGGCAGGAGGAUAGCUUGAGCCCAGGAGUUCGAGACCAGUCUGGGGAACAUAGGGAAUCCCCAUCUCUACAAAAAAAUUAUUUUUAUUUAAAAAUCUCUUCCUUAAUGAAUAAAUAAAUCAAAUAUUCAACUUCUUCAUCUGUGAAAGGGAAAACCUAGCCUUUCAAAGUUAUUGUGAGGCUUUCAGAUGAUUUAUGUAAACUGGUUAGCACAUGCCUAGCAAAUUACAGACUUUCAUUAACUAAUAAUUUAGGUGCUAUCGUUGCUGCUAGUUAUUCAAUCAACCUAAAAGCAGCCCCACUGAAACAAAGCCAGAGGACUGGAAAUGCAGCUCUUAAAGAGUGUUGCCAUCUUGUUGUGAUGUAUUAUUCCUUCUGCAAGCUGCCUCUGAGGUUCCAUGUCAAUGAGGUUUAUCUCCACGGACAUGUGGGAUGAGAGACGAAGCAUACAAAGUGGUGUGUGCCAAAACUUACUUAUGGUCAUCAGUUCUUAGAAAAUAAGGUAAGGCCAAGCACGGUGGCUUACAUCUGUAAUCCCAGCACUUUGGGAAGCUGAGGCACACGAAUCACUUGACUCAGGAGUUCAAGACAAGCCUGGGAAACCUGGUGAAACCGUUUCUAACAAAAAUGCAAAAAAUUAGCUGGGCAUGAUGGUGUGUGCCUAUGGUCCCAGCUACUCAGGAGGCUGAGGCAAGAGGAUCACUUGAGCCCAAGAAGCAGAGGUUGCAGUGACCUGAGAUCAUGCAACAGCACUCCAGCCUGGCUGACAGAGACCCCAUCUCAAAAGAAAUAAAUAGAAAACAAGAGUUAAUUGAGAAAGAAGCCAUGUGGUCUGUGGCAGCAGCUGGAGGAAGGCAUGGUGACUCAACAGGGCUCUGCAUGGAAGAGUACAAGGUGGUUCUGGGAAGCAGCAAAGAUUGGCCACCCCAAGGCUCUGAGGGAGCCGCAUGCAGGCUCUAAGCAGAAUCAGGCCAACCCCUGGCCUGGAGGAAGUAGGGGAAGAGAGCUGCCAGUGGCAAGACCUGCUCAGGCUGUGUGAGUGGCUGUGGAGACACUGGGAAGAAGUUCUGGGGAACUGGACCGUGGGGUACUAUCCUAGCACUCAAAGUUCCUUGUGACCUGAGCUAGCAUAUUUUACAGUGGGGAAGUAACAGGUACUGCCCAUGAGGAUAAGUAACAUCUUGAGCUCCAAACCUUGCAAUUAAACUUUCAGAUAGUAACUGGAAUUCUUCAUGAAGCCCAUGACACAGGCAAGUAUUAUGCAUAUUUUUAGAAAUAAAGUACUUUAUUAGAACUACAGAUCUCCACUCUAGUGGUCCUAUCAUAGAAUUCAUUAUCUAUCUAUCUAUCUAUCUAUCUAUCUAUCUAUCUAUCUAUCUUGAGAUGGAGUCUCACUUUGUUGCCCAGGCUGGAGUGCAAUGGCAUGAUCUCAGCUCACUGCAACCUCUGCCUUCUGGGUUCAAGCGAUUCUCCUGCCUCAGCCUCCCAAGUAGCUGGGGUUACAGGCAUGUGCCACCAUGCCUGGCUAAUUUUUGUAUUUUUAGUAGAGAUGGGGUUUCGCCAUGUUGGCCAGGCUGGUCUUGAACUCCUGACCUCAGGUGAUCCACCCACCUCGGCCUCCCAAAGUGCUGGAUUACAGUCAUGAGCUAUCACACCCAGCCACAUUAUCAAUAUAUUUUGAAACAGGACUCAUACAAAUAUAAUAUGAAGUCACUGUUACCUCUUAUGACUUCAAAGUCUUUUACCAAAAAUUCUCAAGGGGAUCUUAAUCAAUCUGCAAAGACUUACCAUUAAAAAAAAAUUUAUAUUCUCUGAGGUAGAGUUGAUGACCACCUGAGUAGAUAGAAGUCAGAGACUGGUGUUUGAGUCCCAUUUCACUAGGACUUAAUUGUGAGAUCUUGGGAAAGUUCCUUUGUUUGUAAAACAUGGGGAAAAAUUCUUAGCCUGUAUCAUAAGAACUUUUUAAAAAUUCACAUGAGAUAAUGUAUGGAAAUUGAUAAAGCACCAUAUGAAAUUAUUGCAUUUUACCUACUAAAGAAACUGAGACACAGAGUGAUAUGGUUUGGCUCUGUGUCCCCACACAAAUCUCAUGUUGAAUUGCAAUCCAAAUUGUAAUCCCCACAUGUCAAGGUAGGGUCCUAGUGGGAGGUGACUGGAUCAUGAGGGCAGUUCCCCCUGCUGUUCUCGUGAUAGUGAGUUCUCAUGAGAUGGGCUUGUUUGAUAAGUAUCUGGCACUUACCCCUUUCUCUUCUUCUUGCCUGCUGCCAUGUAAGAUGCGCCCUGCUUCCCCUUUUCCUUCCAAGAUGAUUGUAAGUUUCCUGAGGCCUCUCCAGCCAUGCAGAACUGUGAGUCAAUUAAACGUCUUUUGUUUAUAAAUUACCAGUUUAUAAAGAUACCAGUCUCAACAGUAUCUUUACAGCAAUGUGAAAAUGGACAAAUACACAGAGUGAACAAAAGAUUUGCCCAAAGUCAUAAUUAGCAAAUGGAGAGUCAAAGAUGAAAUAGAAAUUCAAGUGACUGGACAUGGUACACGGCAGAGUUGAUUCAGAUAAACAAUUUGCUUUGUUGAAGUCAGCAUGCAUGUGACUCUAAAAAGCAUUAGUCCAGUGAGGUAAAAAGGAGCAUUUACUGAGUGUAUAGAGAGACCUCACAGUAUCGACGGAUGGAACACAAAGAGUUGCUGGGUUUCACCCAAAUUGGCCAGAAAACUGGGGAAUUCUCAGGGACAGGGUGGCUUGUCCCUCUGUGUCCCCCUUGUCUUUGCUUCUCAGCCAGCUCCAGCCUCUCCCACAUUCUGUCUGUCUUCCUCGGCUCCUUCAUCCUGUGUGAGGCACAACAUGGCUGCUCUUUCUGGAUCUAGACAAGGAAGACCACUGAGCUCCAGUACUCACAAUCAACUGGCAAUACACACUAAACUUCUUCUUCAUGAACUAGCCUGGCUCCUCUGAGAGAACCUGGACCACACAAGUCAUUUCUGAGCAAAUAAUUUACUCCACCUGGGUCAGGCAUGUUCGACGCUGGUCUAAGCAGUGAUGGGCUUCCCCACCACCACCUAUCCCCAGAAGUCACAUUACCUCAUGUUAUCUUGUACAGCUGUACCUUCCAGAGAGCUGUGGGUGGCAAGGGUGCUAUACUGCCAGGCUGGGUGUUAUCACAUAAAGAGAGGAACUAUGUAUAGAGAGAGCAUGCUUUGGAUGAUUUCAUGAUAUAUUUCAGUUAUGAGAUUUAAGAUCCAAAUUUCCUGGUCAAAAAAAUCAACUCAGUUUAACUAAUAUUGUGUUGGGCUCUUAAGAUACAUGUCCACAAGUUGUGUCCACAAAUAACUGUAAUAUAAGAUAGUCUAUGAAAGUUUCUUAGAAAUUGUCUUAUAAAAUUACAUGAAAGCAUAAAAAAAGAAUUAAGCCCUCCUGGGGGAGUCAGAAAGCUUUUACUAAGUGCAAUUUGAGACUUGUCUUGAAGCUUUCAUUUAAUUUUUAUAGAGAGGUGGAAGAUGGGGAAGACACACACAAAGCAGUGGGGAAAGCAUGAACAAAAUAUGGAGAAGUGAAAUUACAUGUACACUCUGAAAGUGUGAAGAGUAUAGUGUGCUGAAGAGCAGCAUGCAGGAGGGUGAAAAGGAAACACGUUAAUUGACUCAUCACAACUAUACACUGGAAAUUUUCAGGUGACACCUCAUUUAAUCUUUUUUUUUUUUUUUGAGAUGGAGUUUCACUCUUAUUGCCCAAGCUGGAGUACAGUGGCGCAAUCUCGGCUCACUGCAACCUCCGCCUCCCAGGUUCAAGUGAUUCUCCUGCCUCAGUCUCCUGAGUAGCUGGGACUACAGGUGCCCACCACCACACUCGGCUAAUUUUUUGUAUUUUUAGUAGAGAUGGGGUUUUACCAUGUUGGCCAGACUGGUCUCGAACUCCUGACCUCAGGUGAUCUCCCUCCUUGGCCUCCCAAAGUGCUGGGAUUACAGGCAUGAGCCACCGUGCCUGGCUGCUUCUUCGUCUUUUUUUUUUUUUUUUUUGAGACCAAGUCUCACUCUGUCACCCAGGCUGGAAUGCAGUGGUGCCAUCUUGGCUCACUGCAACCUCCAACCACCACCUCCUGGGUUCAAGCGAUUCUCCUGUCGCAGCCUCCCGAGUAGCUGGGAUUACAAGCUCGUGCCACCACACCCGGGUAAUUUAUGUAUUUUUAGUUGACAUCGGGUUUCACCAUGUUGGCCAAGCUGGUCUCAAACUCCUGAGCUCAAGUGAUCUGCCCACCUCUGCCUCCCAAAGAGCUGGGAUUACAGGCGUGAACUACUAUGCCCGGCCUCAUUUAAUCCUUUCAACAAUCCUUGAGGUAGUGUCUAUUGCCCCUAUUUGACCAAGGUACAUGAAAGCUGAAGCCACUUUUCUACUGUACCAUGUGGGGGCUGAGCAUGAGAACAGAUGGAGGGAAGGUCUGCCCACCAUCUAAGGAGUUCAUACCAGAUUCUAAAGGCAUUGUGAGGUCACACAAUAUUUCUAAACAAGGAACAGCACAAACAGAUCUGAAUUUUAGAAAAAUAAUGCUGGUAGUAAUGUAGGGAUUAAACAGAAUAUUCUUUCUCUGUCAUUCAUUCAUUUAAUUUUAAAAAAUAUUGAAAACUUACUGUGGGUCAAGAUUGUGUUACAAGGCACUGUGGGAAAAAAUGUUACAUAUGCCAGAUGUGGCCACUAAUCUCAUGAUGCUUAUUAUACUAACUUAUAUAUGUCUUCCUCAACAUAUAUAUUCUAUAAAACAAAUGAUGCUCCACUUAUGAUGGGAUUACAUCCCAAUAAACCCAUUGUAAAUGGAAAAUAGUCUAAGUCAAAAAUGCAUUUACUACCCUAAUAAGCCCAUCAUAAAGUUGAAAA
rnacentral:lncRNA from 10 species